UAAUACGAACCGUCCAAACGUUACUCGGAAUCACUGGGCUUAAAGGGUGCGUAGGCUGCUCGGAGGGUGGGAUGUGAAAUCCCCCAGCUCAACUGGGGAAUAGCGUCCCAAACCGCCGGGCUUGAGGGAGACAGAGGUCAGCGGAACUGAUGGUGGAGCGGUGAAAUGCGUUGAUAUCAUCAGGAACACCAGUGGCGAAGGCGGCUGACUGGGUCUUUCCUAACGCUGAGGCACGAAAGCUAGGGGAGCGAACGGGAUUAGAUACCCCGGUAGUCCUAGCCUUAAACGAUGAGCACUUGAUUGGAGGAAUGGUCACGUUCUUCCGGUCGUAGCGAAAGUGUUAAGUGCUCCGCCUGGGGAGUAUGGUCGCAAGGCUG
rnacentral:rRNA from 1 species